AAAUUGAAGAGUUUGAUCAUGGCUCAGAUUGAACGCUGGCGGCAGGCCUAACACAUGCAAGUCGAACGGUAACAGGAAGCAGCUUGCUGCUUCGCUGACGAGUGGCGGACGGGUGAGUAAUGUCUGGGAAACUGCCUGAUGGAGGGGGAUAACUACUGGAAACGGUAGCUAAUACCGCAUAACGUCGCAAGACCAAAGAGGGGGACCUUCGGGCCUCUUGCCAUCGGAUGUGCCCAGAUGGGAUUAGCUUGU
rnacentral:rRNA from 1 species